AGAGUUUGAUCCUGGCUCAGAGCGAACGCUGGCGGCGUGCUUAACACAUGCAAGUCGAGUGCGCGCCCGUAGCAAUACGGGUGGCGCACGGCGCACGGGUGCGUAACACGUGGGUAACCUGCCCUUUGAUGGGGAAUAACCCCGCGAAAGCGGGGCUAAUUCCGCAUAAGAUCCGCAAGGAUGAAAGCCGUAAGGCGUCGAAGGAGGGGCCUGCGCACGAUUAGCUAGUUGGUAGGGUAACGGCCUACCAAGGCUUUGAUCGUUAGCUGGUCUGAGAGGAUGGCCAGCCACACUGGAACUGAGACACGGUCCAGACUCCUACGGGAGGCAGCAGUGGGGAAUCUUGCACAAUGGGCGAAAGCCUGAUGCAGCGACGCCGCGUGGGGGAUGAAGCUUCUCGGAGUGUAAACCCCUUUCGACCCGGACGAAUACCUCGCAAGAGGGGUGACGGUACGGGUAUAAGAAGCCCCGGCUAACUACGUGCCAGCAGCCGCGGUAAGACGUGGGGGGCCAGCGUUGCUCGGAAUUACUGGGUGUAAAGGGUCAGUAGGCGGUGUGGCAAGUCGGGAGUGAAAUCUCUGGGCUUAACUCAGAGACUGCUUCCGAAACUGCUGUGCUUGAGUGUGGGAGAGGCGCGUGGAAUUGCAGGUGUAGCGGUGAAAUGCGUAGAUAUCUGCAGGAACACCCGUGGCGAAAGCGGCGCGCUGGACCACAACUGACGCUGAAUGACGAAAGCUAGGGGAGCAAACAGGAUUAGAUACCCUGGUAGUCCUAGCCCUAAACGAUCAGGACUUGGGGUGCCACCCGUUCGGGUGUCGUCCCGGAGCUAACGCGUUAAGUCCUGCACCUGGGGAGUACGGUCGCAAGACUGAAACUCAAAGGAAUUGACGGGGCCCGCACAAGCGGUGGAACAUGUGGUUCAAUUCGACGCUACGCGAGGAACCUUACCUGG
rnacentral:rRNA from 1 species